rnacentral:rRNA from 1 species
UUCUGCCCUAUCAACUUUCGAUGGUAGUGKAUUGGACUACCAUGGCAGUAACGGGUAACGAAGAAUUUGGGUUCGAUUUCGGAGAGGGAGCCUGAGAGAUGGCUACCACAUCCAAGGAAGGCACCAGGCGCGUAAAUUACCCAAUCCUGACVCAGGGAGGUAGUGGCAUAAAUCACAAUGCGGAACAAUGUUUUGCAAUUGGAUUGAGAACAACGUACAAACCUUAUCGAUAUCCGUGGGGGGGGGGCGG